rnacentral:rRNA from 1 species
AGCGAACGCUGGCGGCGUGCCUAACACAUGCAAGUCGAACGUGAAAGGGAGCAAUCCCCAGUAAAGUGGCGUACGGGUGAGUAACACGUAGGUAAUCUACCCCAGAAUCUGGAAUAACCGGCCGAAAGGCUGGCUAAUACUGGAUAGAGCGACGGAAUCCGUAAUUGGGUUUUUCGGGAAAGGGAGCCUAAAAAGGCCUUCGUUCUGGGAUGAGCCUGCGUCCCAUCAGCUAGUUGGUGAGGUAAAAGCUUACCAAGGCAAUGACGGGUAGCUGGUCUGAGAGGACGAUCAGCCACACUGGAACUGAAACACGGUCCAGACUCCUACGGGAGGCAGCAGUGGGGAAUCUUGCGCAAUGGACGAAAGUCUGACGCAGCAACGCCGCGUGAGUGAAGAAGGCCUUCGGGUUGUAAAGCUCUGUCGAGUGGGACGAAAAUGCUUGGAGUUCACAGCUCCAGGAACUGACGGUACCACUAAAGGAAGCACCGGCUAACUCCGUG